CAUCCAGAGAACUUACCAGAGAUGGAUUGGUGCCUUCGGGAACUCUGAGACAGGUGCUGCAUGGCUGUCGUCAGCUCGUGUUGUGAAAUGUUGGGUUAAGUCCCGCAACGAGCGCAACCCUUAUCCUUUGUUGCCAGCGGUUAGGCCGGGAACUCAAAGGAGACUGCCAGUGAUAAACUGGAGGAAGGUGGGGAUGACGUCAAGUCAUCAUGGCCCUUACGAGUAGGGCUACACACGUGCUACAAUGGCGCAUACAAAGAGAAGCGACCUCGCGAGAGCAAGCGGACCUCAUAAAGUGCGUCGUAGUCCGGAUUGGAGUCUGCAACUCGACUCCAUGAAGUCGGAAUCGCUAGUAAUCGUGGAUCAGAAUGCCACGGUGAAUACGUUCCCGGGCCUUGUACACACCGCCCGUCACACCAUGGGAGUGGGUUGCAAAAGAAGUAGGUAG
rnacentral:rRNA from 1 species